UGAGACCUGCCACUCUGAGUGGUGUACUGAU
rnacentral:piRNA from 1 species